rnacentral:rRNA from 1 species
UGGGGAAUUUUGGACAAUGGGCGAAAGCCUGAUCCAGCCAUGCCGCGUGAGUGAAGAAGGCCUUCGGGUUGUAAAGCUCUUUUAGUCGGAAAGAAAGAGUUGCAAUGAAUAAUUGUGAUUUAUGACGGUACCGACAGAAAAAGCACCGGCUAACUACGUGCCAGCAGCCGCGGUAAUACGUAGGGUGCGAGCGUUAAUCGGAAUUACUGGGCGUAAAGGGUGCGCAGGCGGUCUUGCAAGUCAGAUGUGAAAGCCCCGGGCUUAACCUGGGAAUUGCGUUUGAAACUACAAGACUAGAGUGCAGCAGAGGGGAGUGGAAUUCCAUGUGUAGCAGUGAAAUGCGUAGAGAUGUGGAAGAACACCGAUGGCGAAGGCAGCUCCCUGGGUUGACACUGACGCUCAUGCACGAAAGCGUGGGGAGCAAACAG